UAACUUAUUCUUUGAACUUCGAAACAAUAAUGCUUUGAUAGUAAUAAUGUAACACGUUACUUAUUCCACAGGCAGGAAUAAAAGACCCUGAAACGUUUGAACGUGCAGAACACAUUUUGUUGGAAAUAGGAUAUUUAUUCCAAAUACAAGAUGACUGUUUGGCUUUCUUUAAAGAUUCCAAAACUUUUGGAAAAGAUAUACAAGAAGGCAAAUAUACAUAGCUGGUGGUUGAAGCUCUUUAACGCGCCACUUCGAAACAAAAUUUAUACCAGAUUUGAAGAAGAUCAACAUAAUAUCAUAAAGGCACAAAUACAGUAAAUUUCAUGCGGACCUGUACGCAGUAUGCUCUUCGGGUUAUUAGGGAGGAUUUACCGCAAGGUGUCAUGAAAGCUGAUUGAACACCAAAAUGAUAAUAGGAGCCUGUCACCGGAGGAUUCCACGAUUUUCCUUCUCGCAUCCCUCGCGUAAAAUAUGAAAUACGAAACAAAGCGAGGAGAUUGUCUCUAAGGUUUAUAACACUCAAUUAUUACAUCCGGAGGACUCCACGAUUUCUCUUUUACAAAUAACGCCAUCACUUGGUUAUUAUAAAAAAAAAUUGAACAUCGUCCCUGAACGAUAUAAUGCUCAAAUAUUAUAUCCGGAGCAAUAAGCUCGUUAAAUAGAAGCAAAAAAGAAGAAAUUGUGCGAUGACGGAAUUACGAGCAAUAUUUACUCAUUUUAACACCAUAAGAACAAACGAAGCCAGGACUUGGAAAGGAAAAAACCUAAAUGAUAUUUAAGUCCGGCGAGACAGUGGACCUCGUCGUCAAAAGAACCGCGCCCAUGGUGCCACAACCGGCGAAGGGCGCAACUUACGACGCCCUGUUAAACAAAAAAAAACUCCAGAAGGUAAAAGAAAUUCACGAUUUUAUUCGGGAUCGAAUCUUCCACAAAGAGAAAUCGUCAAAUAACGAAUCCCUUAGACAAUUGGGUGACGCAACUGUUCAGCCCUAAAAUUAAGAAAACUCAAGAGAAGAUGGAAAACUAAUCAACGAAAGAUCAUCCGAAAAAACGAUUGGUAGUGAGCGAUGGUGAACUACCAACGAAUAAGUCCGAAACUUUAACAACAAAUAAUCUACAAGAGAAGAGAGAAAUCUCCAAAAGCUUCACCCAAUCAAAUUUCUAUUCCACUCACUCGAUCAACCUUACGCCCCUUUUCAAGCCCUAUAAAAUGCCCAACUUCCUAACACUCAUGAUCAUGUAGUCGGAUAUUAUGAACGAGCUCACAGAUGCAGCAGAAAAAAA
rnacentral:lncRNA from 13 species